rnacentral:rRNA from 1 species
GAUGAACGCUGGCGGCGUGCCUAAUACAUGCAAGUCGAGCGAACAGACGAGGAGCUUGCUCCUCUGACGUUAGCGGCGGACGGGUGAGUAACACGUGGAUAACCUACCUAUAAGACUGGGAUAACUUCGGGAAACCGGAGCUAAUACCGGAUAAUAUAUUGAACCGCAUGGUUCAAUAGUGAAAGACGGUUUUGCUGUCACUUAUAGAUGGAUCCGCGCCGCAUUAGCUAGUUGGUAAGGUAACGGCUUACCAAGGCAACGAUGCGUAGCCGACCUGAGAGGGUGAUCGGACACACUGGAACGGAGAAACGGUCCAGACUCCAACGGGAGGCAGCAGUAGGGAAUCUUACGCAAUGGGCGAAAGCCUGACGGAGCAACGCCGCGUGAGUGAUGAAGGUCUUCGGAUCGUAAAACUCUGUUAUUAGGGAAGAACAAAUGUGUAAGUAACUAUGCACGUCUUGACGGUACCUAAUCAGAAAGACACGGCUAACUACGUG